GUCUACACUACACACAUGGCAGAGCUGGGUGUCUCUGGAUAUCGGUUGAAGUCCUAAAGCCGAGGACAGUAGACAGGUUUCUCACCGAACUUGGAGCUCAUCAAUUCAGCUAAAUUGGUUGGCCAGCAAGUCCCUGGGAUCUGCCUAUCUCUGCCUCUACCCCAGCUAGAGCCCUCAUAGGUCCCUGGGAUUCAACGUGGAUCCUCAGGUGUAUGUUUGUUUUGGCUCAGCUCUGAGCUCUCUGGGAACUCAAAGUCCUGACUAACGGCAUUGUUGGACCUGGGUGCCUCUGAGGAAGAUCUGUCUGAGAAAGAAGAGAUAGAGCUGAGAUGUUAAAUGUUUCCAACAAAAGCUAUCAGGGCAGAAUGUCCUGACUCAGCACUUCCCGGCAUUUUUUGAGGUUUUGUCCACAGACAAUGUACAGUUACUCCUUUUUGAGCAUGUGGUUUUCUUUAUUUAGUUUUUCCUCCCUUAAGCUUAUGGGUUUUCAUUGACGAGAUGGUUGUGCAAGUCUGAGGCGCAGGCACUGCCCGGAAGCUGGUUUACUCGCACGGAUGCCACACUGGAUAAGAGAAUGAGCAAGCAGAGGGGGACCAACUGUACCAUCACGAGAACAGGGUGUCUCCUCAUCGCCCAGGGAAGAUGUAGCUGGUUUAUGGAAGAAGAAUCCCACGGGUGGACAAACACUUGAAGCUCACCAAUAGGACCCGACACUCACCACCGCGGGGUUAGAAAGGACUGCCCAUGGCCUCUGACAUAAGGAGGCUUUUUUUUGUCUAGAGGACCUCAUCUGCCAAAGUGGGCUGGGAGAGGCCACCUGAGACUAGCAGUGGCUUGCCAGGUGUUAAAGAAGCACUAGAACCCGAUCCUCGCUUGCAGUCCCGUUUGUGGGGCUCCCCUACUUCCGGCACUCCUCUGCUUCCUCAAGUUCCCUUUCUCUCCUUUCAUUUUCUGUAAGGUCAAAGAUAAAGACCUGGCUUCAGGGUCCCACCACAGACAAGCUGUGCAACCGUUCGUGAGAUUUCAAGCUUGCUUGGACUCAGCUCCUUCAUUUUUGUAAACCAGAAAAGUAAGACCUGCUUUGAAAUGCUUCUGGCCUCAGAUCUAAAUGGAAGCCACAACAGCCUGUCUCUCAUAACGGAGAGUGAUUGGUCAAUGUCAGCCAUGUUCGUGCUGGUGAUUUGACUCUGGUAUGGGCCUCUGGGGCCAAUGGUGGCUCUUGGUAGCCGGUCUUGAAAUUCAUUUCGGGAAAGGUACUGUCCACUUUCUUAGAGUGUUGGGGGUGGCGCUGAGCUCUGAGAAGCUGGACCUGAAGAAGAGUCUAGCCAAGGGACCUCGGAUUUCUCCAGAGUUCAUGGGCUGAGCAGAGCCUGAACAUUCAUGCUGUGACAAGAUGCACAAUGGCUGCUUGGGCCCACAUAACCUCUUGUCUUCUACCACUGGCCUGAGCCAAUACAAUCAACCGUUCCACUCUCUCCCACUUGGCAACCUGAAAACUUCUGAGGAUCUAUGAUAACCACUUUGUCAUUACUGAGGAGAAAAUGAACAAAAAAGACAGCCACUGACAUAGGAAAGGGUCAGGCAAGGGCAAGUCUCCAAAAUUUGGCAGAAAGGGUUGGGGUCUGAAAAACAAAUGUAACUAGGCAAGGAGUCUGUCCUUCUUCCUUCUACUCCCCAUGCCCUCUCUGGACUCCUAUUCCAAGAUCUUUAAUUUUGAAAAUUUAAACAAGAAAGUGUAUUAAUCUUCAAGGGCUCUCAUUAAUCACCAUGCCUGGCCCAGUGGUGAGGGAGAAAGAGAGAGAUGACUCACUUCUACAGUUGAUUUCUUGGUAAUGGAGGGUCAGGGCCUGCCCUUACAUUACCCCUUUGUCGAACUAAUGGAGAAAACUCUCACUUAGGAAGCACCCAUUCUGGAGCAAUUUUUCAGUGGAAGAUUGCAGACAGUAAUAGCCACCAACAAGAAAAGAUUUCCCUUAGGGAAACGAGAGUGAGUGGCUUGGCAGAAUCAUGAGAAACACAGACCUUGCCCCGGAGAGUUGUGGGGUUCGAUGGCAGGGUUGAGUAAAGCUUCAGUGUGUGGCAUAUGAAGUGCAUCUGCAACAAACAAUGAACCUUUACCACAUCCCUUCUUGGUGCCAGGCACUGUGAAGACCUUCUUUCUGUCAUCGUUUGACCAGUAUGUGACAGGUGGCAUCACGUCCCCUGGUUUACUGAUACGAAUUCUGACAUGCAUGCCAAGUGACUUGUUAAAUACGACUUUUCUCAUUGCUGUAAUAAAAUACCCAACAAAGAAAGCAACUUAA